UGGGGAAUAUUGCACAAUGGGCGAAAGCCUGAUGCAGCCAUACCGCGUGUGUGAAGAAGGCCUUCGGGUUGUAAAGUACUUUCAGUAGGGAGGAAGGCAGUGUCGUUAAUAGCGGCAUUGUUUGACGUUACCUACAGAAGCAGCACCGGCUAACUCCGUGCCAGCAGCCGCGGUAAUACGGAGGGUGCAAGCGUUAAUCGGAAUUACUGGGCGUAAAGCGCGCGUAGGCGGUUUGUUAAGUGAGAUGUGAAAGCCCAGGGCUCAACCUUGGAACUGCAUCUCAUACUGGCAGGCUAGAGUACGGUAGAGGGGGGUAGAAUUCCACGUGUAGCGGUGAAAUGCGUAGAGAUGUGGAGGAAUACCAGUGGCGAAGGCGGCCCCCUGGAUCGAUACUGACGCUGAGGUGCGAAAGCGUGGGGAGCAAACAGG
rnacentral:rRNA from 1 species